rnacentral:rRNA from 1 species
GAAAGCAGGGGAUCGCAAGACCUUGCGCUUUUGGAGUGGCCGAUGCCUGAUUAGCUAGUUGGUGGGGUAAUGGCCUACCAGGGCGACGAUCAGUAGUUGGUCUGAGAGGACGACCAGCCACACUGGGACUGAGACACGGCCCAGACUCCUACGGGAGGCAGCAGUGGGGAAUUUUGGACAAUGGGCGAAAGCCUGAUCCAGCAAUGCCGCGUGAGUGAAGAAGGCCUUCGGGUUGUAAAGCUCUUUCAGUCGAGAAGAAAAGGUUGUGACUAAUAAUCACAACUCAUGACGGUAUCGACAGAAGAAGCACCGGCUAACUACGUGCCAGCAGCCGCGGUAAUACGUAGGGUGCGAGCGUUAAUCGGAAUUACUGGGCGUAAAGGGUGCGCAGGCGGCUUUGUAAGUCAG